UUUUAUUUUUGAGUGUUAGAUAUAAAGACAGGCUUUAUGAUACAGCCAUCAAACAAUGUUGGUGGGUUUAUUAGAAUAGAUUUUUCCAUCUUUCAUCUGUUCAUGUUUCUAACCAUGUGUCCAUUCAACAUUCAUUUCUUGGCCAUAAAUUUAAUAAAAAGAAAUAUCAGAGGCUUAAACUUUGAACAGAUGUUGCCUGUGACCUUAAGGAAUGCCAUAACACUGAUCUGAUGUUAUUCACCAAGGUCAUAUUAUUAUUGAUAUAUCGCCUGUCCUAAAUAUUCCUUGUCUGAAAUAUUAGUCUUUCCUGGACAAUUCUAGUUUGUUUUGUUUGUUUAAAUGCUAAUGCAUGCUCUCUCUCUCUCUCUCUCUCUCUCUCUCUCUCUCUCUCUCUCUCUCUCUCUCCACAUACAAUGGAAUUGGUAGUGGAUAUACUGAUUGUUACUUUUGUACUUAGCUCAUAGAGACAGAACUUUGCAUUGCAGUAGAUAGAUUUACAUUGUAUGAGUUAUCUGCCAGCUUAAGUUAACGAUACAUGAUAAUGACACAUGGAAUAUUGCACACAAUAUGUGUCAAUUCUUGAGCAUACAGCGAUUUAGAUGUUUUUAAAACCUGCAUAAACAAUGAGGAAAUGAUAUGUAGAAUUUAUUAAGUUUUUUAAUAGGAAAUAAAUCAUUUGUUACCAAAUGUCAGCCUGAAUUACCAAGUGUCAGCUACAAUUUUGAGUGUCUAAAGCAUAAUACUAGUACAAGAAAAAUUAAAACAAAAAUAAUGAAAACUUUU
rnacentral:misc_RNA from 1 species